CUACGGGAGGCUCCAGUCAGGAAUAUUGCACAAUGGGGGGAACCCUGAUGCAGCAACGCCGCGUGGAGGAUGACGCAUUUCGGUGUGUAAACUCCUUUUAUAUGUCAAGAAAAUGACGGUAGCAUAUGAAUAAGCACCGGCUAACUCCGUGCCAGCAGCCGCGGUAAUACGGAGGGUGCAAGCGUUAUUCGGAAUCACUGGGCGUAAAGGACGCGUAGGCGGGUUGGAAAGUCAGGUGUGAAAUCCUACAGCUUAACUGUAGAACUGCACUUGAAACUUCUAAUCUAGAGUAUGGGAGGGGGAGAUGGAAUUAGUGGUGUAGGGGUAAAAUCCGUAGAUAUCACUAGGAAUACCUAAAGCGAAGGCGAUCUCCUGGAACAUUACUGACGCUAAGGCGUGAAAGCGUGGGGAGCAAACAGGAUUAGAUACCCUAGUAGUC
rnacentral:rRNA from 1 species